rnacentral:lncRNA from 12 species
AUGUCAGACCCGGCGCUGGACCCCCAGGAGGGGUACGCACAGGGCCGGGGUCCCCCCAGGAGGUGCAGACCCUCGGGGCGCACACGGGGCCGGGGUCCCCCCAGGAGGUGCAGACCCUCAGGGUGCAAAUCGGGCCGAGUCCCCCCAGGAGGUGCAGACCCUUGGGGCGUGCUCAGGGCCGGGGUCCCCCCAGGAGGUGCAGACCCGUGGGGUGCACGGGGGUUGGGGUCCCCCCGAGAUGCAGACCCUCAGGGCACACACGGGGCCGGGGUCCCCCCAGGAGGUGUAGACCCUCGGGGUGUAAUCGGGAUCGAGGUCCCCCCAGGAGGUGCAGACCCGCGGGGCCCCAGGAGGUGCAGACCCUCGGCGCGCAUGGGGCCGGGGGGGGUCUCCCCAGGAGGUGUAGACCCUCGGGGUGCAAUUGGGGCUGGGUCCCCCCAGGAGGUGCAGACCCUCAGGGCGCGCACGGGGCCAGGGUCCCCCCAGGAGGUGCAGACCCGCGGGCCCCCAGGAGGUGUAGACCCUCGACGCGCAUGGGGCUGGGGGCGUCCCCCCAGGAGGUACAGACCCACGGGGCCCCAGGAGGUGAAGACCCUCGGGGCGCCAUCAGUGUCAGGGUCCCUUCAGGAGGUGCAGACCCGUGGGGCAAGCUCGGGGCUGGGGUCCCCCCAGGAGGUGCAGACCCGUGGGGCACGCUCGGGGUCGGGUCCCCCCAGAAGGCGCAAACCUGUGGGGCACACACGGGGGCUGGGGUCCCCCCAGAAGGUGCAGACCCACGGGGCCCCAGGAGGUGAAGACCCUCGGGGUGCCAUCAGGGCCAGGGUCCCCUCAGGAGGUGCAGACCCGUGGGGCACGAUCGGGGCUGGGGUCCCCCCAGAAGGCGCAAACCUGCGGGGCACACACAGGGGCUGGGGUCCCCCUAGGAGGUGCAGACCCGGGGGGCGCUGGGGGCGGGGCCGGGAUGGCGAAGGAGAGAGCGAACACGAAGGGAGCCGCUCUGAGGACUAA